UGAUAUUUGUUGGAAAAUACCUCUGGUCCC
rnacentral:piRNA from 1 species